AUGCUAUAUUAUUUUGCAGAUUUUCAAGAAAAAGAUAACAAAUCCUUAACGACGCUGGAAAAUAUGUUUAAGCUGGCCAUGCUACACGUCCGCCGGCGGAUCCUUUUCAAAGAUCUGCCGCAUCGCCUGCCGUCUGAUUCGAUGAUAUCUUUGUUGCAAAAAUUGCAACAACAUCUCCUGCUGUUGCGUCUAAUUUUCUGCAACAAGACCCUUGUUGCAAAAAUUGCAACAACAUCUUCGGCCACGUCGCGCACUUGCACAGUCGUCAUUCGCUGCCACCGUUCCGCAACAACGCCGUUGUUGCAGAAAGCAUGUACCAGAGGUGUUGUUGCAAACAGCGAUGCAGGGCCGAGCGCGUAG
rnacentral:rRNA from 1 species